UCGAGAAUCUUUCACAAUGGGGGCAACCCUGAUGGAGCGACGCCGCGUGGAGGAUAAGGUCUUCGGAUUGUAAACUCCUGUCAUGUGUGAACAAGGUUGCGGGGCUAAUACCUUUGCAAAUUGAUGGUAACACAAGAGGAAGAGACGGCUAACUCUGUGCCAGCAGCCGCGGUAAUACAGAGGUCUCAAGCGUUGUUCGGAAUCACUGGGCGUAAAGGGUGCGUAGGUGGCGUGGUAAGUCAGAUGUGAAAGCCCGGGGCUCAACCUCGGAAUUGCAUCCGAUACUGCCAUGCUCGAGUACUGAAGAGGUGACUAGAAUUCUAGGUGUAGCAGUGAAAUGCGUAGAUAUCUAGAGGAAUACCAAAGGCGAAGGCAGGUCACUGGGCAGUUACUGACACUGAGGCACGAAGGCCAGGGGAGCGAACG
rnacentral:rRNA from 1 species